CACAAUCUUAUAUCGGUUGGCACGUGUAAACGGUCAUUUAUGAAGAAUGAUUGUGUUAAAUUCAAAUUCAGAUCUUAAGUCAAUAAAAAAUUAAUUAGCACUACUGUACAUUAUUUUUGGUGCAUGAUUUAAAAGUUGAUAACAAAUGAUUUUCAGAGCAACAAAAGGGAAUAUAAGUUUAAAAGCCAACGGAAUUAUUAAUGGUUAUAAAAAUUCAUGAACAUGUGAAAUCAGUUAGCUUUGCUGAAUCUACGAGAGAUCUAAAGUAUUGAACUAAUUUAGUAAAAAUCGGUUGGAAGAAAGAGAAAAAA
rnacentral:lncRNA from 1 species